AUAGGUAGGUAGAUCCUCUAAGUAUGCU
rnacentral:piRNA from 1 species